rnacentral:lncRNA from 1 species
AUAGAUCUAUGAAAGAAGAACAAUUGAUGCGAUCAAAAUAUGUUCCUUUAAACUAAAUUGAAUAGUGCUCUCACUUAGUGUAUAAAAUAUGAGAAAGUUCAUUCUUUAUAAAGACUUUCUUCACAGUUUCGAAGUAUGCCUCGCAUUUUCGGACCGUUCCAGGCACUUAUCGUUACCUGUAUUGUGACAAGAGGACGUCAAAAUCACAACAACUCCAACAGGCGGCGACGUCGGGACAAGGAGGUUUUCGAUGUCACGAAGAUGGACAACAUCAUGACAAGGCGAUUCGGGAUGUUGCUACGUGGCGACGUGUUUCCCACAUAAAUCGAGUUUCUUUUCUCAGUUAAACUCUAUUAUCUUUUCUCAAUUAAAGUCUAAUUAUUCUAGGGAUAUUUUAGUCAUAUAUUCACACGAAUUUCAGCCUAUAAAAAGACUUUUGUGACCCUAGAAUUGAUAUCUUCAUCACAUUAAGAUUAAAAGAAGAUUAAGAGAGUUUUG